rnacentral:rRNA from 1 species
CAUAUCAAUAAGCGGAGGAAAAGAAACUAACAGGGAUUCCCCUAGUAACUGCGAGUGAAGCGGGAAAAGCUCAAAUUUAAAAUCUGGCAGCCUUUGGUUGUCCGAGUUGUAAUCUAGAGAAGUGUUAUCCGCGCUGGACCGUGUACAAGUCUCCUGGAAUGGAGCGUCAUAGAGGGUGAGAAUCCCGUCUUUGACACGGACUGCCAGGGCUUUGUGAUGCGCUCUCAAAGAGUCGAGUUGUUUGGGAAUGCAGCUCAAAAUGGGUGGUAAAUUCCAUCUAAAGCUAAAUAUUGGCGAGAGACCGAUAGCGAACAAGUACCGUGAGGGAAAGAUGAAAAGAACUUUGGAAAGAGAGUUAAACAGUACGUGAAAUUGCUGAAAGGGAAACGCUUGAAGUCAGUCGCGUUGUCCAGGGAUCAACCUUGCUUUUGCUUGGUGCACUUUCUGGUUGACGGGUCAGCAUCAAUUUUGACUAUUGGAAAAAGAUUAGGGGAAUGUGGCAUCUUUGGAUGUGUUAUAGCCCUUAGUUGCAUACAAUGGUUGGGAUUGAGGAACUCAGCACGCCGCAAGGCCGGGUUUUUAACCACGUACGUGCUUAGGAUGCUGGCAUAAUGGCUUUAAUCGACCCGUCUUGAAACACGGACCAAGGAGUCUAACAUGCCUGCGAGUGUUUGGGUGGAAAACCCGAGCGCGUAAUGAAAGUGAAAGUUGAGAUCCCUGUCGUGGGGAGCAUCGACGCCCGGACCAGACCUUUUGUGACGGUUCCGCGGUAGAGCAUGUAUGUUGGGACCCGAAAGAUGGUGAACUAUGCCUGAAUAGGGUGAAGCCAGAGGAAACUCUGGUGGAGGCUCGUAGCGAUUCUGACGUGCAAAUCGAUCGUCAAAUUUGGGUAUAGGGGCGAAAGACUAAUCGAACCAUCUAGUAGCUGG